ensembl:snoRNA
AUCCUUUUCCGGUUUAUAAGUAUGAUGAUUGCGUCUUCAUGCGUUUGUGUGAUAUGUGCCUCCCUUAAUCCUUGUUACGACGCUGGCACAUUACCCACCUGACA